GUAAUAAAAUUAUGUGUAUGUAUUUAAAAUGCUCUGUAAGAAAAUUUUUUAAAAAUGAGAUUAUUGGUAUAAUAAAAUGGGACCCAGAACAGAUGGGUUUGCCUGGUCAAGGAAAUUAAAACACCACCUCUUCCUCUGAAAUAGGAGGAAUACAGAAAAGGAGUGAUGUUAACAUAGAGAAACUCCAAAGUGGAGAGAAACAGAGGUGAGGUAGUAGAUGCCUGAAGACUUUUCACUUGACCAGAAAAUUGAAGUGACAUCCUUGGCUGAUGAACCCUUUGCCUACCAGCCCCCAGCAUGCUGUGACGAUCCUGCCCCAGUAUUGGACACCUGAGGAGGCGUUCCCUCUCCUAUUCCUCCAACUGGCUCUUGUCCUGCUCUCAUCCCACCUUUUCUUUGAAGUCUCCUGCCACUCUAUCCCACUGUCACCUUGCCCUUCUUCACCUCCUGUAUCUUCCUGUCUAUGUUACUACCUAGGCAGAGCUCUCUAGCUUCUGAAGGUUCAUGGAUCAUAGAAUCCCAGGGCCAAGAGGGCCCUGGACAUCCUAUGUGUUUCAAAGGUCUUCCAAGCUCAGAGGGAGAAGUUGAGUUCCCUACGUGAUACUUCAGGGCCAUAGGUGGUAGAACUGGGAAGCGGUUCAGGAUGUGACUCCAAACGAGAAUGGCAUGAGACGCUUAGGCUUCUACAGCUCCUUCCUCACUCUACGCAGCCAGGUGAUUGUCUGCUCUGCCAGGGCACUGGGGCGAAUGUCUUCUCUGCAGAGGCUGACUGAAGAGGCCAGGGAAUUGGGGACUCAGUAUGGCAGAGGGCAGAGCAGAAGCACUGUAUUUGAAGAGCGGUAUUAAGUAAAAGUUCACAAGCCAAGCAGGCUCCCCUCCUUACAGUUCACCGUCAUCAGGAAUACCUAAGACAAGAAACACAGUCACUUCUAUCUGGAGAAACUGACAAGUCUAAAAGAAAAUACUGACAGAAAGGACUCAUCAACAAAAUCGCUGGGUCCCCACCUAAUCAUCCUAUAGCAAGGCAAGACCUGACAAUCAACAAACCCUGCUCACAUGCACUGAACUAUCAGUCGGCCUUUUGGUUUCUCACUUUCACAUAUGAGUGAACAGUCAUGGAUCACCAGAGACCACAACAAACAAAAAACACAGGAAAAAAAGGAAAGUCCUAAAGUCCAGAGAGAAGCACAAAAAAGAAAAAUUGGAUACAUAUAAAGGAGUGAGAGGCCGAGUAACAUAAGACUUUUCAAUAGCAACUUGAGGAAUUAAAAGCCCAUGGAACAAUACCUUUGAUAUACUGAGGAGAGUAGUUUGAAUUUAGAUUUUUCUUACACAGACAAACCAUCCAUAAAGUCUUACAGUAGACAAAUUCGGACAUGCAAAAUGCUUAUAUCCUGUGCAUUCGUUCUCAGAAAGAUACUGGAGAAUGUGAGCCUCAAAAAUGAUUAAACCAGGAAAGAGGAAGAUUGAGAUCUGGGAAAUAUGGGAUUCAACACAGGAGAGGACAUUCAGAAUAAUGCUGGGGAAGGGAAGUUCCAGAACAGCUGUGUAGCAGGCCUCAAGAAGAAACAAUCCAGUCUGCAGUAGGAGAGGUACAGGGCUCCAUGGGGAAGGAAAACAAAAUAAUAGAUGGAUCAUCAGAUACAUAUGAAUAUGUGGAAAACUGUAUCAAGAGGCUGUUAGAGAAUAGGGGAAGAAGUAAUCUUAGAAACAAAGAAGCUAAACAUGAAAAUACAAGAGGACAGAGGACUGCACUGAAGCAUCUAGUCAUGAAAAAAAAUGAGCUGAUAGGUUCCUGAUGUGUUUGACUGUAUUGAGAGGAGUGUUAUGUGAGAAUUUGGGGAAUGAAAUUGAGAUGAAGAAAGAUAAGCAAUUAUUAAAUCCUGGAAAAACAGAAAGUUGUGUAAGAAAGGAAAUGUAAUCAUUGCACACCAUAUGACUCAGCG
rnacentral:lncRNA from 1 species